CCCUUAGAUGUUCUGGGCCGCACGCGCGCUACACUGAUGAAUUCAACGAGCUCCUAACCUAGGCCGAAGGGUCCGGGUAAUCUUUGAAAUUUCAUCGUGAUGGGGAUAGAUUAUUGCAAUUAUUAAUCUUCAACGAGGAAUUCCUAGUAAGCGCGAGUCAUCAGCUCGCGUUGAUUACGUCCCUGCCCUUUGUACACACCGCCCGUCGCACCUACCGAUUGAAUGGUCCGGUGAAAUCUCGGGACGGCGGCUCGGUCGCUUGCGUCCGACUGCUGAAACUUGAUUAAACCAUAUCAUUUAGAGGAAGGUGAAGUCGUAACA
rnacentral:rRNA from 1 species